UAAUGAUGAUAAGGGUAAUUCCUGAGCAUAGCCUUUAAUCUUUCGCAAGCUUGGUAAAGAUUCUCUUCAUCUUUCUACUUGAAACUAAGAAUCUCACUUCUCAAAUG